GAUACCUGCCCCAACACUGGCCUGACGUGCCGGGUUCUGCCCCUGACCUUCAGUACAGCAAGAGGAAAAAAAAACAACAGAUGAGACAAACUCGCUUCAGAACGUCCUUGAUCACCACCGAGCACAGGUCAGGCAGCGGCACCGUGGACAGAGCCCCGUUCAAGGACCCUGAGUAAAAGUGGAGCGAAGGUGUCCGCGCAGCAGAGACGAUGACAACAGGCUCGGUGUUCAUUCUGAGAGACGGCUGGUUGAAGUUGGAGAGCUUGUCUGAGAG